rnacentral:rRNA from 1 species
AUUGAACGCUGGCGGCAGGCUUAACACAUGCAAGUCGAGCGAGCGGCGGACGGGUGAGUAAUGUCUGGGAAACUGCCUGAUGGAGGGGGAUUACUACUGGAAACGGUAGCUAAUACCGCAUACCCUCAGAUGUGCCCAGAUGGGAUUAGCCAGUAGGGGGGGUAAUGGCUCACCUAGGUGACGGUCCCUAGCUGGUCUGCGAGGGUGACCAGCAAGGAUGGAACGGGGCCACGGUCCAGGCGCCGACGAGAGGCAGCAGUGGGGAAUAUUGGACAAUGGGCGGAGGCAUGAUGCAGCCAGGCCGCGGGUGUGAAGAAGGCCUGCGGGGUGUAAAGCACUUUCAGCGAGGAUGCGUUACUCGCAGAAGAAGCACCGGCUAACUCCGUGCCAGCAGCCGCGGUAAUAC